rnacentral:sRNA from 1 species
CAUCCGCGAGUUGUGGACAUAUGUAGUGUACGUGGGAAUCUAUUCCACCAGCUGUGAGAAUCAUACCUUCUCCUGCGAUUGCUUCAGUAUUUACCUUCCAAAAUAAAAAGCAACCAUCUCAACCCAAAUGAACUAGCACAAGAAUAAGGCCGGCAUAUAUCUCACAUAACUGCCUAUUCAAGCUCAGGUUACUCACCCCCACAAUCAUGCCUUCAGUAACACCGUCCAUGACAUCCGGGUUCCCAGCUUUACCAAUGCCAACUAUGAUUCCUCCUUUGAUGCCGAUGUCAGCCUUGUAGAUACCAGUAUGAUCGAUCACCAGAGCGUUGGUAAUUACCGUGUCUAGGGUCUCAUUCUCACCACAGCCACUUGCUUGCCCCAUUCCAUCUCUUAA